rnacentral:rRNA from 1 species
UGGGGAAUCUUCCACAAUGGACGCAAGUCUGAUGGAGCAACGCCGCGUGAGUGAAGAAGGUCUUCGGAUCGUAAAGCUCUGUUGUUGGUGAAGAAGGAUAGAGGCAGUAACUGGUCUUUAUUUGACGGUAAUCAACCAGAAAGUCACGGCUAACUACGUGCCAGCAGCCGCGGUAAUACGUAGGUGGCAAGCGUUGUCCGGAUUUAUUGGGCGUAAAGCGAGCGCAGGCGGAAUGAUAAGUCUGAUGUGAAAGCCCACGGCUCAACCGUGGAACUGCAUCGGAAACUGUCAUUCUUGAGUGCAGAAGAGGAGAGUGGAACUCCAUGUGUAGCGGUGGAAUGCGUAGAUAUAUGGAAGAACACCAGUGGCGAAGGCGGCUCUCUGGUCUGCAACUGACGCUGAGGCUCGAAAGCAUGGGUAGCGAACAGGAUUAGAUACCCUGGUAGUCCAUGCCGUAAACGAUGAGCGCUAGGUGUUGGGGACUUUCCGGUCCUCAGUGCCGCAGCAAACGCAUUAAGCGCUCCGCCUGGGGAGUACGACCGCAAGGUUGAAAC